GUAGAAAUGAAUAUAAUUUGGUCUCUGUCAUGGAGGAACUGAGUCUAGGGGGGUGGACCCUCGUAGAUAUGGAUAACUGGAAAACAAAAGCUUAAAUAAUAAACUUGAGAAAGGCAUAGACACAUGAGUGGAGGCUUGAGUCAGCAGAGGAAAUCCGGAAACAUUGCAGAGAGGAAGUGGCACUGCGGCUGAGCCUUGAAGGAGACAGCGAUCUCUACAGAUGGGAGCUGGUGGAGUGGGGCUGGCAUCCUGGAGGAGGGGCAGUGAGAGUCCACGCACCAGAGCAGAUGGCCUGCUCCACUCCCAAAUGACUGGGAAGGAACGUAAGCUUGAAGACGAGGUUGUGAAAUUUCCAGUUUUGCAGGUUGUACUUGCUGACCCACUAAGGAAAUGACCAUGGGACUGUAACAAAGCGAACAAAACCUCGGCUUCAUCUUCUCCUUCGUUUAAGCAGCUCCUGUACAUUGAAGGAGCUGAGAUGAGGCAGCGAAAGAUGGAGGGAGAGAGGAAAGGAGAGGGAGACUGAGGAGAGUGGGUUAUCAAGACCAAAAGAAGAUGAUCAUUUCCCGAGUGGAACCUGCCUUGCAAUAGAUUCAUCUCUUGUGCUCCUGCCCUAAAUUGAAAUCUUCGUCCAUUUGUGUUUUGCAUGGAUAGGGAGGUGUGGGACAUGCUAUAUUUGGUAGUUUUCUGGCAGAUACAAUUUCCUGUUUCACUGUGUUUUAAAAUAAAACUAAAUAUACAAAUGUUUUCUCCAGGGUAUUGGGCUGUUUUAGGCUGUGCACUCUUGGUGGGCAAGGCCUGUGCCGUGGUUAGCUAAUAGUUCCCUGCUGGAUGAAGUUAAGCAAUGGCUCAUUUGUCAGGUGUCUCAGCAGUAAAAUUUCCAGAUAAACGCAAUCUACUCCAGUAAAUGCUAAAACUCCUUAAAAAAAAAAA